CGCGCUCCACGCCCGAGUCGGUGCUGCGCCGCUUGCCCGCGGGCUUCCUCAGGGGCAUGGCUGCCACCCCGCCAGACAAACGCAACGCUCCGCGCCCGGGAAGCUUUUCGGCCACGGCUGAACCCGGCACAUGAGGAGCUGCGGUAGGAUGGGUUGACGGCUUCCAUCCCCGCGGAGCGAUUGAAACAGACACUUACCUAAGCUGUUUCCUCCACAACCCUGCAAGAUCCGUCUGGCUCGCUUUUUGGCAUCUUCUGGAAAACUUGGACUGUCCAACAGGUUUGGUUAGGGGCAGGCUUUCAAGGUGUGUGGUAGAGGCAGUCUGACUGGAUUGUAACUGGCCUCUGCCAGCAGGCAGAGAUUUGGAAAAAAGAAGCUUGCAGAACAGGAGCUCUAAUAACAAACUCGGGAGCAGUAAGUACCAGAUUGAUAUUUAUGUCUAUUGAAGAGGGUAUGGACCACAUCAAGGAGAAAAAACAAUCUCCAGCCCUAUAAAACAACCACCGCUACAGCCUUCUGCCUUUGGUGGCACCUCACACUGUCCUGACAAAAUGAUUCAUCUUCAUCUUGGGAACAAAGUCAGUCUUCUGCCAUUCUUUUGAAAUUGUUAGCAAAGAGACUAAUUGUAAUAGCCAUUUUUAAAGCUGAAGAAGCCAUCUUGUACUUUUAAGUUCACAUGUAAAGCAGAAAAUAUAAAAAUGUGUUAAUUUUU